rnacentral:rRNA from 1 species
CCUACGGGAGGCAGCAGUGGGGAAUUUUGGACAAUGGACGCAAGUCUGAUCCAGCCAUGCCGCGUGCGGGAAGAAGGCCUUCGGGUUGUAAACCGCUUUUGUCAGGGAAGAAACGGGUUUCUCUAAUACAGAGACCUAAUGACGGUACCUGAAGAAUAAGCACCGGCUAACUACGUGCCAGCAGCCGCGGUAAUACGUAGGGUGCAAGCGUUAAUCGGAAUUACUGGGCGUAAAGCGUGCGCAGGCGGUUAUGCAAGACAGAGGUGAAAUCCCCGGGCUCAACCUGGGAACUGCCUUUGUGACUGCAUAGCUAGAGUACGGUAGAGGGGGAUGGAAUUCCGCGUGUAGCAGUGAAAUGCGUAGAUAUGCGGAGGAACACCGAUGGCGAAGGCAAUCCCCUGGACCUGUACUGACGCUCAUGCACGAAAGCGUGGGGAGCAAACAGGAUUAGAUACCCUGGUAGUCCACGCCCUAAACGAUGUCAACUGGUUGUUGGGAGGGUUUCUUCUCAGUAACGAAGCUAACGCGUGAAGUUGACCGCCGUGGGGAGUACGGCCGCAAGGUUGAAACUUCAAAUGAAUUGAGG